GCAGCCUGAUGCAGCCAUGCCGCGUGUGUGAAGAAGGCCUUCGGGUUGUAAAGCACUUUCAGUGGUGAGGAAGGUCAGUAAGUUAAUAGCUUGCUGAAUUGACGUUAGCCACAGAAGAAGCACCGGCUAACUCCGUGCCAGCAGCCGCGGUAAU
rnacentral:rRNA from 1 species